ACUGGCUGACCCCUUCCGGGAACUCGGCCCAAGCUUCCCAGAACUCGGGUAUUAAUGACCCGGAGCCACAUGACGGAGCAUGACACAGCACUUUGGGCGCAGGCAGGGCCCAGAGGGGCGCGUGGGGGGCCGCAGCUCAGCCCCCAGCCCGGCCAGUGGCUGUGCCCGGCCUGGACCUGCUGACAUCAGACCCAGUGCUGGCCAGUCCCUGUACCCGCUGUCUCAGAGCGCAAAGCCAGGGCGGGAUGGAUGUUAGCGAGGGGAACAGGAUGUCCCGCUGAAGGCUUUGAUGGUGCACGGAUUGUAGAGGCGCUGGGAGGACAAGAGGUCACGUCCCUGCCAGCCGUGUGACGCCGUGGGACCUGGGCGCAAGCCUCUGCUCAAGUCUGUUUCCUCAGCUGACAUUAAAAUGUAUCA